rnacentral:rRNA from 1 species
AUUGAACGCUGGCGGCAUGCCUUACACAUGCAAGUCGAACGGCAGCACGGGAGCAAUCCUGGUGGCGAGUGGCGAACGGGUGAGUAAAGUAUCGGAACGUGCCCAGUCGUGGGGGCUAACGUAGCGAAAGUUACGCUAAUACCGCAUACGAUCUAUGGAUGAAAGCGGGGGAUCGCAAGACCUCGCGCGAUUGGAACGGCCGAAAUCAGAUUAGGUAGUUGUGGGGGUAAAGGCUCACCAAGCCGACGAUCUGUAGUUGGUCUGAGAGGACGACCAGCCACACUGGGACUGAGACACGGCCCAGACUGCUACGGGGGGCAGCAGUGGGGAAUUUUGGACAAUGGGCGAAAGCCUGAUCCAGCCAUGCCGCGUGCAGGAUGAAGGCCUUCGGGUUGUAAACUGCUUUUGUACGGAACGAAAAGGUUUGGCCUAAUAAGCUGAGCUCAUGACGGUACCGUAAGAAUAAGCACCGGCUAACUACGUGCCAGCCGCCGCGGUAA